GAUGAAUCCACAGGAGACCGUUCGGAUCACAAUUGCCUUAUUAUUACUCGUGCAGUCCACAGUUACCCAUGUCUACGCCUCAUUCCCCACCCUUUCAUCUGUUUAUCCACUCACAGGCAGUGCCGCGAAGGACACGAAUCCCACUGGUUUGAUUCUUAUGCUCACAAGGCCUCCAUUUCCUCAUCUUCAAAAUGAGGACAACAGUGUAAGGCGACCAUGAGGAGUAACUAGGAGAACAUGUGUCACAUGCAGCAAGAACGCCCCUCCCAGCCCAUAGAAGGCAGCCCCAGUGUCUCCUAGAAGCAGCCUCUGGCGCCUCCCACCCUUGGCAGCUGCCAGCACAGCCGGUUCCCAGGGGGCCGCCCCCCCGGCCGCUCCGCGCCAGCCCGCCCUCACACCAGUGAUCCCGCAUCCCGGAUCCUGCCUCCAGUAGGCUCUCGCCAGUGCAUUCCCGCGGUGGGAUCCAGCCCUACCCACUGCCGGCACUCCCUGCAGGUACCAGCCCCUCCCACCUCCGCUCACACCCUCACAGCAAGAUCUCACCCUGAAGCUCCCCGCCCUCUUCACCUCCCCCUGGUCCCCAAGUCCUUCUGCCACGAGCCAGUGUGUUUAGUGAUGAGGGCACAGCCAUGCACAGUCUUUGCUCUGGGGACCUCACGGCCUGCAGGUGAUCACCUCACAGGGAGCAGGUGAUAAGGCAGUGCCCAGUUUCCAGGACUCUCGCUGACUGUCCUGCACAUAUUGAGCUAGGACAGCACCAUGCUAGGCAGGGGCGGGGACGCCGGGACGCGGGAAAGCACACAGAAUGGUGCUCACCAUCUGGAGCUCACGCUCCCACAUGUGAUCUCUCCAGCGGUGGCUGAUGCAAAGGUUCCAGGGUGUCUCUGUGGGAACAGCUGUCCCCUUAGACCAAAGCAUCCCUCCAUGGGAACAGCUGUCUCCUCCGUCUGAAGCACCUCUCCCCAGGGGGCCGCGGCCAUGGUGGCCUGUGUCGAGAGACUGUCUCACUCUGGACAUUUCAGUGGGGGUGAGACAGAAACGCCUUCACCCCUGCAUGGGUGAUUCGGGCUGCAGCUGGAUGGGCUGGAAGUUAAUGGCUGGACAGUGAAGUGGUUACCAGACCCGGGUCACUGCCUGACCUGUCAGCAGCCUGUUCCAGGUCACCUGGCAGCCCGUUGUCCAUCUGUCUGCCCAGCCCGUGAAGUGUGCAGCCUCCAGAAACUGCCCUCUGAGCAGGAGGCUCUGUGGCCGUCCCACCCAGAGCCCCCCAAGAGAUUGCCUCGUUGCCCUCAACGUUGCCUCACAGGGAACCCGGAGAUUGCAAUUGCGUGCCUUCCAGAUUAUCAGAAGAAAGAAAAGGCGAAGAAAAUAUAGACCAUUUAGCGAAAUGUAUUAAAUAGAAAUCACAAAUAACCACGAGAAGGAACAUGAGCUGUAGAAUGAUAGUAAGAGCAAGGAUGCCUGUUACAACAGUCACGGAAAUGAGAUACGCCCAGCUGCAGUCAAAGUACAGUUUGCUACGGAAAUGAGGACUCCUCAGCAAAGCCACCCAAGAAGGCCGAGAGAGAGAGACAGCACACAGGGACACCAGACACGGCAGAGAGGGACAGCACACAGGGACACCAGGCACGGCAGAGAGGGACAGCACACAGGGACA